UGCACGUGGUUUCCAAGAUGGCCGAUUUGUGGCUUUGUUGUAUAACCACCUUAACCACCACUUUCGGCAGCGUUCACCAACACAAGCCCGAAAAAAAAGAGCUAAAAGGAGCGGAACGACGCGGGAUCAACUCUCUGAUAGUGGUCCGAUCACUUUUACUCCCGGAGUGCAAAAGAAUUUGUGAAGUGUACUGUAUCAUCGGAAUUUUGUGAAAACGCCAUCGGCCGUCACCAUCGCUGUGAAGAAAUCUUCGAACCACGUUUUGGUCCCGUCGUCGCCGCCAUCGUAGCAGGCAUCCAAAGCGUCAGCGUCAUCGUUGCAAGCACCCAAAGCGUCAGCGUCAUCGGCGUGCCAAGCUUGGCCCGGUGGACGCGUAGGUUUGUCAGGCACAGUCAGCACGAAGGCGGGCUAAAUAUCAAACUGUUUUGGAAACGACACCUCCCCCCCUUCCCGGCGUGCCCUCUUCGGCCUUCGGACAUCACGAUCACUUCAAGGAACCAUCACCCAGUGACCACCGGCGUGCCUCUCUUGGCCCGGUAUCUCCGUACCUUUGUCAUCCCCGUCAUCGAGGUCCGACGGAACCGCUAUUGCGCAAGAAUGUUACUCCACCGGAGGGUACGUGCCCGGUCGGAAACGAGCCUCGGGAGCGAUGAGGUGCAUCUUCACAAUGCUUCGUAAAACUACCGGUAUGUGAAUCCUACUGUUUCCUAACCAGACCAUUCAUAAAAAUGAAAUUAUAAUGAACUAAUGAUUCGAUAAAAUUGAAUACAGUGCGUAAUGUAAAUUAA